GGCAGGUGUCGGGGCGCCGGGUCCCCCCCGUCGCCGCUGAGCUGACGUGCCUGGCCCUGCUGAGGCUGCUGGGGUUGCGAUGAAGUGCAGUGGCUUCGCUUUGUUGUGGUGCUGACUGGAGUGGAAGCAAGUCAGACUAACUGUGAGGAGGGAAGAGGCUGCAGUGACCGAGGUGG